GUAUUGUAUGAAAGGAGAGAAGUUUAGCACUCCCCUUGACAAGGACGGAGGAAACCAUUGGGCGUUACAGCAUGCAUAGGGUUAAGGCUUUGCUACCUACUUUAUGGUAUCAAACUACAGUUUUUA
ensembl:snRNA U6atac minor spliceosomal RNA